rnacentral:rRNA from 1 species
GAUGAACGCUGGCGGCGUGCCUAAUACAUGCCAGUCGAGCGAACGGACGAGAAGCUUGCUUCUCUGAUGUUAGCGGCGGACGGGUGAGUAACACGUGGAUAACCUACCUAUAAGACUGGGAUAACUUCGGGAAACCGGAGCUAAUACCGGAUAAUAUUUUGAACCGCAUGGUUCAAAAGUGAAAGACGGUCUUGCUGUCACUUAUAGAUGGAUCCGCGCUGCAUUAGUUAGUUGGUAAGGUAACGGCUUACCAAGGCAACGAUGCAUAGCCGACCGGAGAGGGGGAUCGGCCACACUGGAACGGAGACACGAUCCAGACUCCUACGGGAGGCAGCAGUAGGGAAUCUUCCGCAAUGGGCGAAAGCCUGACGGAGCAACGCCGCUUGAGUGAUGAAGGUCUUCGGAUCGUAAAACUCGGUUAUUAGGGAAGAACAUAUGUGUAAGUAACUGUGCACAUCUUGACGGUACCUAAUCAGAAAGCCACGGCUAACUACGUG